rnacentral:rRNA from 1 species
UGGGAGCAGCCGCGGUAACACGGGGGGCGCACGCGUUAUUCGGAAUUAUUGGGCGUAAAGGGCGCGCAGGCGGUCUUGUCAGUCAGGUGUGAAAGCCCGGGGCUCAACCCCGGAUGGUCACUUGAAACAGCAAGACUUGAGUACUGGAGAGGAAAGCGGAAUUCCUGGUGUAGAGGUGAAAUUCGUAGAUAUCAGGAGGAACACCGAUGGCGAAGGCAUCUCUCUGGACCGAUAUUGACGCUGAGGCGCGAAGGCGUGGGUCGCGAACGGGAUUAGAUA